UAAUGCAUACUCCGGCCGAAUCAAAGGAUGUCUUGUCCUUGCCCUCAUCCUCACAAUCAUACUGCGUUGUUAUGGUGAAUCAUCUUUUCCCUUUCCUUUUUGAAGCUUCACAAUUUCCUUCUUCAACCUUCCAUUUUCUGUAAAAAGAUCAUUGUUCUUCGAACAUUCCACAUCCAACAUUGCAAUGACCUUUUACAGUUUUCUUUACAUAUCAUCGAUGUCCACCUUAUUAUCCAAAAGUCCUUCCUGACUGCAUUCCAUCAAUUGAGUAGGUAGCAACUGAAAUGCCUUAAUAUGAUCAAAGUCAUCGAUAUAAUUUAUAGGUGUCUUGCUUGUCUUCCCACCACUGGUUGUAAUUAUUUCCAUAAUUUGGGUACCUUUGGUUGGCGUACUGCUUUCCUAUUUUUUUUCUUAAUCUCCUAAGUAAUUCAAAAUGAAACAUAAUGAGUCAAUUUUACAAAUAAAGAACUAGCACCAAAAAAAAAAAAAAAAGAGGAAUAAAAACUUGUACUUGUAACAUAUGAAUUGGAACAAAUGUCAUUCUUGCAUAUAGCUCCAACAAAUUCCAUUUC
rnacentral:lncRNA from 1 species